CCCUUAGAUGUUCUGGGCCGCACGCGCGCUACACUGAUGCAUUCAACGAGUUUCUUCCUGGUCCGAGAGGAAUGGGUAACCUUUUGAAAGUGCAUCGUGAUAGGGAUAGACUAUUGCAAUUAUUGGUCUUCAACGAGGAAUUCCUAGUAGACGUAGUUCAUCAGACUGCAUCGAUUACGUCCCUGCCCUUUGUACACACCGCCCGUCGCUCCUUCCGAUUGAAUGCUCAGGUGAGCCAUUCGGACUUUCAUCAUGCUGGUUUCCAGUUUUGAUGAAGGAAAGUCUUGCGAACCUUAUCAUUUAGAGGAAGGAGAAGUCGUAACA
rnacentral:rRNA from 1 species